CACGUAGGAGGCGAGCGUUGUCCGGAAUCAUUGGGCGUAAAGAGCGCGCAGGCGGCUUGGCAAGUCGGGUGUGAAAUCCCGGGGCUCAACCCCGUGACUGCAUCCGAUACUGUCAGGCUAGAGGUAGGUAGGGGAGAUCGGAAUUCCUGGUGUAGCGGUGAAAUGCGCAGAUAUCAGGAGGAACACCGGUGGCGAAGGCGGAUCUCUGGGCCGUAACUGACGCUGAGGAGCGAAAGCGUGGGGAGCAAACAGG
rnacentral:rRNA from 1 species